UACGUAGGGGGCAAGCGUUGUCCGGAAUCAUUGGGCGUAAAGAGCGUGUAGGCGGUCCGGUAAGUCCGCUGUGAAAGUCGAGGGCUCAACCCUCGAAUGCCGGUGGAUACUGUCGGGCUUGAGUACGGGAGAGGCGAGUGGAAUUCCUGGUGUAGCGGUGAAAUGCGCAGAUAUCAGGAGGAACACCGAUUGCGAAGGCAGCUCGCUGGAACGUUACUGACGCUGAGACGCGAAAGCGUGGGGAGCAAACAGG
rnacentral:rRNA from 1 species